UCCUCCGAGGCUGGCGAUCCGCGGAGCUCCCACCUCCGUUUAGAGCUCGCUGCGGCCGUCCUGCCCCGCGCCCCCCGGAGACCUGGACCGGACCAUGAUGUGGAAACGCUGGCUCGCGCUCGCGCUGGUGGCGGUCGCCUGGGUCCGCGCCGAGGAAGAGCUAAGGAGCAAAUCCAAGAUCUGUGCCAAUGUGUUUUGUGGAGCCGGCCGGGAAUGUGCGGUCACAGAGAAAGGGGAACCCACCUGUCUCUGCAUUGAGCAAUGCAAACCUCACAAGAGGCCUGUGUGUGGCAGUAAUGGCAAGACCUACCUCAACCACUGUGAACUGCAUCGAGAUGCCUGCCUCACUGGAUCCAAAAUCCAGGUUGAUUACGAUGGACACUGCAAAGAGAAGAAAUCCGUAAGUCCAUCUGCCAGCCCAGGUGAGUGCCUAUUUUUUCUACUGUGUGCACUCAGGGAGGACAUUCUUUUCAUGAUAGAAAUUUUGUGUUCCACAAUCCCUGCCAAGCUUAUAAGAUCUUCUAUGCAUCAGAAUUGUGUCCCAGAACUGGCCACUCCUCAACACAGCUCAGAAAAGCUGCAAAACUACAUUUGUGUAUGUGUUUUCCAAUUGAAGCAGCUGGUUGGGUCAGAAUGUUGGCUGUGUUUUCCCAUUUUUCCUGAGUAGUGAUUGAACUGCAUGAACAGGAAAGCCACUGAGUUCAUUUUUCAACAUCCUAUUAAGACAUGCUCAUGUCAUGGGACCAGCAAGUAGAAGGCACAACUCUUUUUGAAAGGGGAUAACUGGAAAUGCCAGGAAGACUUCUGUGGUUUUCUAUUAGUGAUCACUAAAAUUUUGUCAUGAUUUAUAGUUACAGAGCUUUUUUGCACAUACUUUCCUUAGAUUCUCACAAUAACCUUUGUGAAGUAGAUCUUAUUGUAAUUACCAUAUAGAUGAGGAAAUUGAGGCUCAAAGAGGCUAAGUGAGUUUUCUGUAUCACACAACUAGUAAUUGGCAGACUGGGGAAGAACUCCCAGAUUUUCAUUUCCCUGGCCCAGUGCCCUUUUCAUCCACAGCAUGUGUUGUCUUCCAGGAAUUCUCUUUUGCCAAAGCUUUCUCUCCUCUGCUUCCCCAUCCACUCAACUCUUAGCACCCCCUGUUAUUUCCAGUGGACAACAGCUGUCCAGAGCAGGGCUUCGACAUAGCCCUUGCUGGGCUUCACAUUCUGUUGUUCAUAAUAAAGGAUGAUGCAGGUGGUAUACAGUUGUAAGUGGGGGGAAGUUUGGAUGGACCUAGUUGGUGAGAAAGUGAGAAACUGGAGAAAAUCAGAAAUCUAGUGGCAUAAAAACUGUAAUAUUCUCAUUUAUUCAUGUAUUAUUUCAGCUCAUCUUUGAGUCAAGAGAGCUGCUUUAUUGAUUUUUUCCCCUUCAGCUUCCU
rnacentral:sRNA from 1 species